rnacentral:rRNA from 1 species
AUUGAACGCUGGCGGCAGGCCUAACACAUGCAAGUCGAGCGGAUGAAGGGAGCUUGCUCCUGGAUUCAGCGGCGGACGGGUGAGUAAUGCCUAGGAAUCUGCCUGGUAGUGGGGGAUAACGUCCGGAAACGGGCGCUAAUACCGCAUACGUCCUGAGGGAGAAAGCGGGGGAUCUUCGGACCUCACGCUAUCAGAUGAGCCUAGGUCGGAUUAGCUAGUUGGUGGGGUAAAGGCCUACCAAGGCGACGAUCCGUAACUGGUCUGAGAGGAUGAUCAGUCACACUGGAACUGAGACACGGUCCAGACUCCUACGGGAGGCAGCAGUGGGGAAUAUUGGACAAUGGGCGAAAGCCUGAUCCAACCAUGCCGCGUGUGUGAAGAAGGUCUUCGGAUUGUAAAGCACUUUAAGUUGGGAGGAAGGGCAGUAAGUUAAUACCUUGCUGUUUUGACGUUACCAACAGAAUAAGCACCGGCUAACUUCGUG